rnacentral:rRNA from 1 species
AUUGAACGCUGGCGGCAGGCCUAACACAUGCAAGUCGAGCGAGCGGCGGACGGGUGAGUAAUGUAUGGGGACUGCCCGAUAGAGGGGGAUAACUACUGGAAACGGUGGCUAAUACCGCAUACUAUCGGAUAACCCAUAUGGGAUUAGCUAGUAGGUGGGGUAAAGGCUCACCUGGGCGACGAUCUCUAGCUGGUCUGGGAGGAUGAUCGGCCACACGGGGACUGGGAUACGGCCCGUACUCCAACGGAGGCACCAGUGGGGAAUAUUGCACAAUGGGCGCAAUCCGGAUGCAGCCAUGCCGCGUGUAUGAAGAAGGCCUUAGGGUUGUAAUGUACUUUCGGCGGGGAGACGUUACCCGCAGAAGAAGCACCGGCUAACUCCGUGCCAGCAGCCGCGGUAAUAC